CUGAAUUGUUUUAGGGGGACAGUGUUCAACUCAGCUCAGAAGCCCCAGGAUAAAUUAUCAGAAUGGAUCUCACUUAACACUGGGACUCCCCGAGGGUUAUGGUGAACAUGACAAGAGAAAAGUCAUGUGGAAAUCUCUCUCCACUGCAGAGGAUGAAAGAUUCUUGUUAUUAGAGAACAUGUCCUCAGGGCAGACAUAGUCUCCUCAUGAUCUACUGGAGAGACUAAGGAUACGGAUGGUCUUUAACACAAGCAUUACAAUCAUGCUAUUGCUUUUGAUAAAUUUAUAAUUUGUA